CGCGCCCGGCCCGCCGCGAGCGGGACUGUGAGGCGGGGAGGCGUCGGGCGCCAUCUUGGCCGAGGCGGGCCGGCCCCCGCGGGCCGCCAUCUUGCGGGCGGGAGGGCUGCUGCGGUGUGGGCAGUGCCUCUCCUGCGGUGCACGGAGGCGGCGGGCUCGUUCCCUUUGUCCCUUCUCCGCUGGCGUGUGUCAGCGCACCGCCAGGCGCUUGUCCCGGCAGCCCGGCCGCCUCCAGGCCCGGCGAAGCCACUGAGAGAGUGGCAGAAAGGAGAGUCAUCUCACGGUGUCUCACGGACGCGUACGGCAGCUUCACGCCCGCGGGGUGACGGCAGCGCCUGAGGUGGCAGAAAGCAGGCUGCCCAGGGAGCUGCUCUGGGCAAUUUGCAGUCAGAAACCAUUGCAAUUUUCAGUUCCGGGAUUUUCUGACAGCUUCUAUUACUGUACAGCCCUGCGUGGGACAGAACAGUGAGGAAAGGACAAGAGAUUUGUGAUGUUCAGACACUGCCCCUUCUGUUGCAUGGAUCUGGCAUCCACAAAGUUAGCACGGAAUCUGUUUUUGUUAGGCUCUGCAGUAUCACUGCACUUUAGAAAUUAAAAAAAUUAAAAUAUAAGACUUUUUUUCUUCAAAUCUUUUUGAAAGAAAUAUUUAUCACAAGGGUAUGGGAAAUGGCACUGCCACUGGCAGCAAGGGAAGCUCUGCAUGGCCCAAGCAAGCAGGGCAGUGCCAGCAGUUUCAGUGCCACACAGCGGGCACUCACAGAAUGCUGGCUUUUAGCUUUGUCUCUCAACUUAUCCCAGCAUGGCAACGUCACACAGCACCAUACACCCUGCUGGGGACUAAGUCAGAAAGGCAUGGACUGCGGUACACUCUCACAACCCAUUUUAUGUAACUGUGUAAAAGGUUCAAAUAACAAUAAAAGCAAGGAAGCAUUUUAAGAAAAACUGUCUAAGCUCAGAAAUAGUCUUGUUGACAAUUCCGUGACAUUUCUGGCCAGGUCAUUAUUUUGAGGUAUAAAUCUUCUACCACAUUCUCUUUGUAGACAAGGUUGGGAAAUGCACAGCCAAUAUAAACAAAUUUUUAAGUAUUCUUUACAAAACAGGUCAGAGAAAUUUCUUUUCAACCUGUAUUUCUAAGCUAAGAACAAUCUGGAUGUUAAUGGCCAAUAUGCACAAAAUAGGGCUAUCAAGACAUCGAUUUCCCAUGGUUGUACACAUCUGUGGGUAACAGUUCAGUUUAUACUAAUGACCUUUUAACCACAAUCAGUAUAAUGGGGUAUUCCAAAGGAUGUAAGCUCAGUGGGCAUCCAUUUACAGCCUCUCUGAACUUUUAACAUGGUGCAAAGGACAGUGGUAUAAAGGACAAUCAAAUCCUUCAUUCUUAAUUUAAAAAAAGAUUCCCAGAUCCUAGACCCUUUUCCAUUACAACGUAAUAAAACUACAGACAUACAUGUAAAAUAUCGAUAAGAUCACAAAACUUUCCACAACAGCAUUAAAAUGUUCUGUGGCAACAAUUGCAAUACUGAACAUCAAACUCGCUGUUCCCUCACACCUCUGCAGCAGCACUUCUUUGGAAUUCAGUUUAUCUGCCAAAACUGGUAACUCUCUGUAGGUUAGCUGACAAAUCUGUCCAAACUUACAGGUGUAGGUUUUUCAGAUCUACAGCCUGUGUCCUCUCAUUUUAUGAGGAAAGCUGCAAGAGUGUGCAAAGUGGUAAAAACAGCAUUGUCACACCAUACAGAACAAGUCACCUUCAUGUAAGUCAUUUAGCACCCUAAUCUUGCAUUCACUGCAAGUACACUGAUGGAAGAUUCUAGCGUUUUCAUAUAACUGUCCACAAAAAAUGACAUAUACAGUGGUCCAGUAGAAAAAAGAAAAUAUGCUGUUUUAGAAGAAUUCAGAAAAGAGCAUUAAGAAGCAUCUUACAUCUUUACAAGCUGAAGUCACAAAUACAUGGUGAAGCAGCAUAAACAAACAGUGGGAUGAACUGGGGAACUGAGUUGGAAAAAGAAUGCUAAAGCCUUUGAAUCUCAGAAAGACAAUGGCAACACCCCUAUAACCCUUUUAUAAAAGGCAGUUACUAUGUAAUUAUUUUCUGCUCAAGCUCAAUCAGUUCCACUUGCUGUUACAGAGAAAGUACCAAAGAAAUAAAAAGUAAAAAAAAAACACCAUUGUUCCACUCCUUUUUUUCCAAGCAGUCCUGGCAGUUAAGGCAUGUCACUUGCACAAUGCUAGGGUUUCUCACAAGGAUGAUAACUAACCUCUGCACAAGAAUGUAGCUGCAAGAUGUAAAGAAAUACUCCUCUUAUGAUGGUGCAAGGUCUGCCGGACCUCGUGUGAGGGCCCGGGUGGAGUUGGUAGAGUAACUUGGAAGAAAAGAGGGCUCACUUCACAGAGGUGCUAGCAACAGGAAGAAAAAUCUUCCACUCUAGAGAGUGAGGGCUGUGAGCAAAGGGUUUUUUUAGCUGCAUGCAUGUGUAACAACAGCAUGACAGCUACAGCAAGAGAUCUGAAGUUAACUGGAAAAACAUGUAAAAAGCAAGAAAACACCGAAGGGUGAAAGAUUCUGAAAUGUCCUUCUUUCUUGGAAUGAAAAAGUAUCCAACUGCAAUAUUCUGGAUUCUCUAAGACAGAACAUGAAUUUAGAAAAAUAGAACUACCUUAUACAGAAUAAAAGAUGAAUGAAGAAAACAGAGUUUGGAACAGUCACAAGAAUAAUAAAUUCUUAUGAUAUUCCUGAGAUGAAGGCUGGAUGACUAACAUACAAAGCAGUAGCAGGUGGGGGAGUUUUCAUGAGCAGGCUGACAUCUGCACUCCUGCUGCUGAGUACUGAAGCAGAUCUGCAGAGUGAUAGAAAGGACUUCUGGAGCAGCUGGAAGUGCUUAAAGCAUUUGGCAGCUAGUUGUAACAUCAUCUAGGGCCGACAGCUUGCCACAACAGGUGAUCCAUAAAGAGACCAUGGGAUGAGAAAGCUGCCUGUAGUACUCGGUCCUGUCUGUAUAGGGCAGAAAGCAUGCCUACCCAUUGACACCGAUCACAUGAAGUGUUUCUCAGGGAGAUAACACAGCAUUACCAUGAAAACUGUCUAAAUUUAACAAGCAGGUAAUGCAAAGCGUUAAGAAAAAAAAUUAGCUCACUCUUUGGACAUGACUAAAAGUGUUUUAAUUGGACAAUGAUAAAAUACACUCAAAUCAAUUUUCAAAGACUUAGAAGAAAAAAAUGACCUCUAUGUUUACUGGCGCCUGAGUAGACAUUACUAUUAGAAAUCCUUGGUCUCUGAGAAAACCUCAAAUGUAAAUCUCUACAUUUUGCUGCAACAUACUCAAGCACCAAGUGGACAACUUGUGAAAGCUGACUAUGGAUUAGAUCAUGGUAGAAGACACCAAAACCAAUUUGUGAACUGUUCCACUAAGCAGCCUCUCUAUUUCAUGUUAAAGAAGGACAUAAACAUAACAUGGACUUUAAAAAGCUUUUGUAUUUAAAAUUAGAGGUACCAAGAUAAGGGUCAGUGUUAAGAAGUACCCUAGCAACCACACCAUGUGAACAGAGAAGGCCAUUUCAGAAGUACUGUACCUACUACAUAUUUGCCUAUGGCUGUCUACACACACUGACCAACAUUCUCUCCCUCUUCUUUGUUUUUUGCUUUCUUUUAUUGUUCCUUAAAAAAAACCAACAUACUCAGGCAGAGAACAAAGCAACAAUUACUGUCCCUAGAAGAACUAUGGAAGCAGACAAAUGCGUUCAUGCAUCCACAGCUGUGGGACGCAAUGACACGUCCUUUUACUGGUUAGAAACAAUGCUGCAGUGCAGAUUGCAGUGCAGUACCAUGGUGUCACAGCAGUCAACACAAGCUUUCUUUGCAGUUGUUUUUUUUUUUUUUUUUAAAUUAAGAUAUUCCUUCUCACUUUCUCCUGAAAGUCAGAUGGUCUGAAAAAAUUAAGAAGGCCAGACAGUAUUUCCACAUGUGAUUGGACUGUUCUUUAUCUCUAAAUUACUUUAGAGAGGCAAUCACAGGGCACAGCUGGGCAGACAUUUUUCACACAUAAGAAAUAAAACCAACAAUUUUAUGGAAGAUGCAUCAUAAAGACCUCACUUUGAAUUUUAAUGACCACAGUGGACCUGAAAGAGAGUUCACUUAACACUGCAUGAAUACAUCUGUAGUUACAUAUAGCAAGUGAGAAGCAGACAUGCAAUUUUGAUUUUUGUAUUUGUGAGGGUGCGGUCAUUUCUUCCUGUUAGCCUAAGGUAGAGUAUUUUGUGUGGAGGAGAAGAAAGUAGAAGAGAGUAAUCAUAUUUAUAGUUUCAAGAAAAGAUUAUAAAAUUGAUGACUACUUGAUAAAAUGAGCUGAUUUCAAAGAGAGGAAUUUCAUAGGAAAUUAAAGAACAAGAUGGAACCAUGAGUCUUAAAUAUAAAAUCAUGACAAUGUAGUUUUACUAAGCGGGUUUCAAUUAAAAUUUGUCAUUGGAUAAUCUAUCAAAUAAGAAAAGUCUAAAAAGCUGAUAAGAACUUAAGCCCAAAACAGGUCUGAAAGAGAUCUGCUCACAUGUGUGAAACUCAAGGUGAAUGUAGUCUCUACAGACCAGCAAUUACUUCCGGAGCUACAAACAACGUAACCUCUGCAUUUAACAGGAUGUACAUUGGUUCCAAAUCUCUCUGCAUCUGUCCUUGCAAGAACUAUUCAGUGUGGAAGUGUUGCAAGGGUCUGAGUUGGCACAGACUUUGGUCAACUGUACCCAUAUCCAUCUAAUGUUAAAUAUGAAAAUUGCAUGAAAGUUUGAUAAAUGACCACAUUGCAGUCAACAGGGCUGCAGCAAUGACCCAAAUGAGAUCCAAAUUUAACCCAUCAAAUUUAGAGUAAUACUGCAAUGAUAUUAUAAAGGCAUUUUCAAAAAAACCAAUCCAAACAGUUGUAUGUUACGGAUUAUCUUUAGAACUAACAAAGUCGUAAUUUACCCAUGCUUACCAUAAAAUGUUACUAUAGAUACUACAGUUAUUUCCUGUUCUAAGUAUAGAGAAGUACUGUCAUAGGUCAGAUAAGGACUUACAAUAGCAGUUAUUCCUAAGUAAGAGAGUUAGCUUAGAAAGUCCUUGCAAAAAAAAAGUAAAACUGCAUACAACUGUUACAGCCAGAAGGUCACUAAUAUCUGUAAGUUCUUACAAAGCUUUUUGGAUCUUGUGACUAAAAUAUUUGUAGAAAUUAUUUUUGCUGUGUUCUGUAAUGCAAGAUGGGAUGUUACAAACAGGAACACGAAGAACCUCUAUGGAUUAAAUUCAGUAUUUAGUCGGGCAUGACUGCAGUAACCCAGGAUGGACUCAGUGUCUCGCACAGAACUGGCUCCUGCAGGAAGCACUACUCUCUCCUCACUCCUUCACAGUAAAGGUGGGGUGGUGGUCCUGGACCCAGUGGGGAAAGGGAUGAGAGACAUCUCUCCCAGAAAAUCAAAGGUGUCCCACGUUGGGUCUUGACAGCUAUUGCUAGAGAACUGUGAAAAAGGAUUCAAAGGCAACCACAUCCCACCAGCAGCCCAUACCUGAAUCCAUUUUGUUUUUGUUUUUUUUUUUCCCCACCAGGAACAAUGCCAGCUGUCAGAAACGAAGUACAAUCUGUGGGCCUGGCCUAGCCAUCUACAUUAACUUUGGAUCCAGUUUCUGAUCUGGCCAUCCUGGAAGGACUUUCUUAUGGGGUAAGAGCAAAUUGCAAGUGGCAAUGUAGGGAUGUGGGCUGUGAAGGAAAGCAAUACACCCAUAGAUUUACAAAUUCUAACAGACAAAUACUGUUAUAAAAAUGAUAACCUUUCACAAAAAAAAAAACAACCCAAAACCAAAAAACAAAAACCGUAGUUUGUAUACAAGGCUGAUAAAUAUUCUGAAAUGUUACAAUAAAUAGCACACAGUUGUAAAAACAGUAAAUGGUUGUAUUUCUCACACUGCAGUACAGCAAUAGAAAAUACUAACUUCUUAAAUCACAGCCUGCUAUGUGCCACAGCAGGAAACAGAAGUGGCCAGCUAACCUGCCUGUUAGAUACACACUGAGAAAGUAGUUACAUUACAGACAAUCAAGGAAAGAGCACCUAUUGUACAGAUGAUAUAUAUUUCUCAUAUAAGUAAUCUUAAUAAGUAGUAACUCUGAGUUUUAGCACCUAUCAGUUAAUAGCAUUACUAUUGUGUUAAGAUAAACUUUUCUCUCAAAACUGCCAUUUCAAAUAAGGUAGACCUGAACUUGCUGAAAUUCUUCUGGUGCUGUCACUUGAGCAGUGACUUGCCACGAGCUAUGUUUGGAGGUAUCCUUUCAGAUCCACCUUUCACUUCUUUCUCACUUCUUUGAGGGAAGCUGCUGGUUUUUAGCUGGAACGUUUUCAUCUUGAAGUUUCUAAUAAUACAUAAGUUAAACCUGGACAUUUAUUGGGGUGAUUCAAGUGAAACUGAUCCACUUCAAUGAUCAGAACAUUUCUAACGGUUUUAAAGCAUCUGCUUUGUUCCCUAAAAGAAAUGCACACCAAAGGGUAAGUACUUUUCUUCGGUUAAUUAAACAUACCUUUGAUGGUAUUUUCAUGCUUGCUACACAUUUUUCAAAAUGGUGAUUUUUAACUUAAAACUACAUACAUAAUUACCUUGCUGAAUUACUUCCUUAACCUUUUCCAGCCAGACUGUUGGUAUAGAAAAUAGAAAGGUAUUUCACAGAGGGAUGGAUAAAAUAAACAGGUAAAAUCGAUUCAGUGCUCAGUUGCAGUUCACACAGGUGCCACCCAGCAGCUGCUGCCUACCUUCAGCACUGCUCCCUCUUCCAGGCAGCAAUGCACAGAAGAUUUUAGGUAGCUGCUGUAGCUGCUGAAAUGUAUGUCUGAAACUAAGCCUGCAAAACAACAAAAAUGAUCGACCCCCAGCUUAUUAGAGGAGAAAGCAUGUUUAACAGAUCCUGUCCAUCACAGAAAAAGAAGUUACUGAAUUACAAUUUGCUCAUUAGCAUCUAACUGCUUAGAAUUAAAACAUAUCUGGCAACAUACUGCACGUAAAUUCAAACCGCAGCGUGUGAUUUGCUCUGUCUUGCAUCUAAUUGGCAAACAUUCAUUAUUUCAAAUUUCUGGGGGAUCACUAAUUCAGUUUAUAUCAGCUCCCUGUUUCUAGUCCUGGGUCACUGCAAUUCUGCUCAUUUGUGGAACAAAAUUGUGUCAAAUGACUCAUUCUGGUCAUGAGUUAAGUUUCAGCCAGAGUCCACAGAGCAGUGGAAACGGUUCCAUUGACUGAUGGGCUUUGCGUCGCACCCUAAAGCUGUGUCACUGAGUUCUUCCACAUUCUCAUAAAGGACUGGUUCUGUCAGUGUUGUUUCUUUGUUCCAUAAAUACACAAUGUUUAACUGCUUUACCAAAUAUAGAAGAACUAUUUUCUCUUCUACUAAUUUAUUAACAGUGAUGGAUUAAAAAAUAUACUUUCAAUAUUCUUUCAGAAGUGAGGGAAAAAAGGGAAAGUGUUAGUAUACAAAUACUGUAAUUGAGGGCAACAUGAGGAAACUGCAUCAACUCUUCUUUAUGAAAUCAAACUCAAAGCAUUUCUUUUAAUUAAGAAACAAAACAAAACACAUCCAAAACAGUGCCUUCCUUCAAAAGACUUGAAAUGCAGUGCUUGAGAACAGCACUUUUUCAUCAUCUCUUAAGAGAGAGCUAUGUAUUUUGAAGAUAUACUUCUAGCAAGCACUCAGGCAGCAAGUCCAGCAAACUCCCCUUUGCCUGCCAGAAGCUCCUUGCUCUGCGGGAAAGGAGCAGAGAUUGAGGCAGCAGCACAGUUAGUGGAAGAGAGAAGGUGGGAUAUGAGGCAACAGAGGCAGCAGUGUCUCAGGGGAAAGGACAGUUUGGGGAGGUGCAUUUUGUUUUAAUUGAAAACAUAACUUAAUCAAUUUCUAAAUUGGAUUGGGUUUUGUACUGGUUUAACUUUUAACUAAAUGUAAAAAAUGGUAAUUCAAAUGGUAUCUUGCACUGCCACAAGUCCUGUUGUGAAAAAGAAUUUCCUAUUCUUUUGCUGUUUUUACUUGCAUAGCAAUAUACUCCCACUAGCAACCCAUCUGGAACACUGAAAGUACACUUAACAGCAUCAGUUGGAAUCAAUAUUCUCUACAUAGGGAAUAUACAUAUUAGAAAGAUACAAAACUGUAUUCAUUCCUUUGGAUGUAAGAUCAAAGCAAAGUCAGAGAAUGUUUUGAUUAGGAGGAAAAUAUUACAGAUGUUAAUAAGCAGAAGUUAAUUCAAACAUAUAGAUAGAGGAAACAGUACAGGUUCAGCUCAGAUGGCAUCUCUCCCCCAAAACACCUCCUGUUCCAGCAGGAUCUGCUGGCUAAGGUACUUCGCUACUGUGGGCAACUGAGCAGCUGGCUCCCCUGUUAUAUCCAACAUAGGCCAAGAAGAAUUGUCAAUAUUUAAGGAGACAAAAUAACACUGCCAUCUUUAAAGUUUAGUCUUAAAGAAUAAUGUGGUUAAUGAUGGAUAAAGAAGGAUGUCUGGUUUUUAUCUUUACUAUGCAUUUUGUGACAGUUCAGGAUUUUGAAGGCUCUCAGCAUGAGCACAAAUGUAAAAAUUACAAGUUGCUCUGCUUGAUAUUGACUGGAGUUGCAUGAUAUAUGCACCCUACUGAACAUACAGCAUUUCUACAAAAGACUUGGCAGAUUUUGGAUUCAGACUAUGUCUUCACGUAUGCAUGCUCUACUACCAGGCAGACCUAAGCUGGCUUCAGCGCCGUAAAGGUCCUCCUCACUAUCAUCUUUGCUGCUAGGUAAAACUAGAAGAUAAUCCUGUCUUAUCACUUCUCAAUUUCCAGCUCUGUGUAUAAUGAAGACAUGCAGGUUACAAGGAUCUCUCUUUCCAGCUGGGAAUACAGUACUGAAUUUGAAACGACUGUUAAAUCUUUUCCAAAUACUGUGUGGAUAAUGGGCAAUAGUAAUGGACAAUACCAAAUAGCCAGCCUUGUGACUCCAAAAUCCCCCCAGGCCAACACUAAAGAGUGUUGACUUCACAUGGCCUAAAACACGAAUGACUGCAUGUACAACGGUUCUCAUCUAACUGCACAUUUUCCAUAUCUUUUUCAUUUAAAAAGCAAAACCAAUACUCUAAAACUCUUAUACUCACCUGUAAACUGAGUAAGUACAGAUACUGUUCAUCGUUACAUUUUUCCUUUCCAAUACAUUCAUUCUUUUCUUCUUACAUUGGUACAGAAUUUAGCAGCAGUAUCUGACGUGCUUAAAGAAGCUGUAAGCAGUACUCUGUUCACUGCUUACCUAAAACUAUAGGCAGUAACCUUUCCCAAUUUAGUUUUUCCAUACUUUCAUUAUCUCCUGAACUUUUUUUUUUUUUUUUUUUAAUGUUUAAAUGGUAUGUCUGGAAUUGAUGGCCACUGCUUAUAUGGAGGGCUAUUGUACUAUUAAAUAAUUGAUUCCAGUUUACCAUCAGGAGUGAUGACUGCUGCAUGGUCUAAUUUCAGCUCCUCCGUCUCAUAGACUGUUUGAUUUGUUUUCAUACUGAGCCUAAUAAUCUCUGCCAGACUCAUUAUUUCUCAGGACUAAAAUGACACCUUCCAUUGGCAAAAUGGAAAGGAUCAACCAAAGGACGGAUCCCCUAUUACAGCAAAAGCUGUAUGUGUAAGUUAAUGCUAUAAUGCUCUAAAUUCAUAAUUACAAACAUUUACAUUUUCAGCACGAGGCAGAACAGAAAUCUUUACAGUGAAAAUCAGCCAUUGCCCUGUACAGGAAGCACACACAAUGUGCAUAAAUGCUUUCGGUUAUUAAUCUUGUCUAUCUGCAGCUAUAUGUGCCAUCUGCAGAUUUGGGCUUACUGUGUUGACUUCCUUUUAGAGUCAGACAUAAUGACGUAAACUGUGUGUUCCACUUACAGAAUCUUCAGGGAUUCCACUGUCACAAUCUCCAUGACAAAAGCUUUCAUGAUAGAAGCAAAAUCUUUUAAUUCAUAUUCUGAUUUUUCCAUCUCUAAAAAACCUUCUUGCUCCUUCGAGUAUUUCUUCAUCACUCUUAUUAUCAUCAGCAGCCCCUUUAAAUUACCUGAAUAUUUCAAGCUCAAACAAAUUAUGGAAGUUUACUUGCUUAUACAGUUAUUUAAUUAUUUUUGUAUGUUUAAGUGAAGAAAAUCUUACAUUCCCAAAGCAUAUCGCAAAAUUCUGGACAGCUACCACUAAUUCAAGGCAUGGUUUUCAAAUUAUGAAGUCAUGCCUUAACUACAGAGUCACAUGCAGGUAGACAGUUGGCAGCUAUUUCAAUGUUUCAUAACAACUUUCCAGUGAGAUCAAACGAUUUCAGAACUCCUUCACAAGCCAGAGUCCUCUAAUCCUUCCAAGGCUUCCAGUCCACCCGGAGCAUGCUGGAAGUUAUUAAUCACUGCACCAGAGUUGGAUGAUGUCCUCGGCCUGAGAAGAACCUUUAUAUUCAGAGCCUGGACUGCAUCUCCCAAACUUGCACGAAGAUUAACUCUAAUUUCCUAGGAUUUAAUUAUUCCAUCUUGCUCUAUGCAAAACCUUAUUUGUUGCCCUGAUUCUGCCGAGAGAAACAUGUAGUCAGGGUACUGAGUAUAAAUUACAGACAUGUCAAAUAGACUCUGGUUUUGUUUACAAUCUUUUUCCUAGAAAGUAUAGCUACUCUUCUAAAUAUAUUUGAUUAUCAUUCCUUACAUUAAAUCUAUCACCACGUAUCUCAUGAAUUAAAACUUAAAAUUACAGCAGGUAGGCUUAGGCUCCACUAUAUUUCCCCAAAGGUAGACAGCCUGUAUUUUAAUGCCGUAGAUUUGUUACCUCCCUUCUAAUCAGAGUUUACUCCAUGGCUUCCUUUCUUUUCUACUUUUCAUUACUGAAAAGUCCCACAUAAAAAUUUUGUUCUCCAAAAUGCUGGUCCAAAACCUGACCUGAGGUACGGCAGCAACUACACACAGUUUGGUCAGGGAGCAGCUCUAUGCUGCACACGCACAUAUUGCUUCAGAAGACUCUGUGGGCAUAAUGACAUUCCUGUAACACAGAAAGCAUACUUUUCACCUACUCUCACCCUCACUGACAGUAUUUCAAAGAAAAAUGUGAAAAGUAUUGUCUUAUUAAAUAAAAGUUUACUGUUGUGGUUUUUUUUCUUUUUU